rnacentral:rRNA from 1 species
AGGGACAGUCGGGGGCAUCAGUAUUCAAUUGUCAGAGGUGAAAUUCUUGGAUUUAUUGAAGACUAACUACUGCGAAAGCAUUUGCCAAGGAUGUUUUCAUUAAUCAGGAACGAAAGUUAGGGGAUCGAAGACGAUCAGAUACCGUCGUAGUCUUAACCAUAAACUAUGCCGACUAGGGAUCGGACGAUGUUAUUUUUUGACGCGUUCGGCACCUUACGAGAAAUCAAAGUGCUUGGGCUCCAGGGGGAGUAUGGUCGCAAGGCUGAAACUUAAAGAAAUUGACGGAAGGGCACCACCAGGGGUGGAGCCUGCGGCUUAAUUUGACUCAACACGGGGAAACUCACCAGGUCCAGACACAAUGAGGAUUGACAGAUUGAGAGCUCUUUCUUGAUUUUGUGGGUGGUGGUGCAUGGCCGUUCUUAGUUGGUGGAGUGAUUUGUCUGCUUAAUUGCGAUAACGAACGAGACCUUAACCUGCUAAAUAGCCCGUAUUGCUUUGGCAGUACGCUGGCUUCUUAGAGGGACUAUCGGCUCAAGCCGAUAUAGUUUGAGACAAUAACAGAUUCUGUGAUGCCCUUAGAUGUUCUAACCGCACGCGCGCUACACUGACUGAGCCAGGCGAAGUUACUUCCCUGACCGUAAAGGCCCGGAUUCUUCUUAUAAUUAUGCAU